CUUAAUUUCAAGAAUACAGAAGUUAAUUUGGAUGGUUAUUUUAAGAGAUGCAAGACUUUGUAGGGCAUUUAAAAAGUCUGAAAAAAUAAUUGAGAAGAUUCAGCUAACUUCAGCCAAUCAGGAACCAGCUAGAAGAGCAUUCAGCGGGACGAAAUACCAGUUUCUUGUCGGAAAGCACGGUGUUUCCAUGUCACUUUGUUUUAAGUGAGUGAUGUCAUCUACGUACUAAUUUUUCACUUUUCAUAGAUUACUUUGUUUGCUUGAUUAAUACACGAUUAUUUAAUAGUUCGCCAGAGAGUGUUUUAUCGGAAUUAAACAAAUUCUCGAUAAUAUCUCGUUUGUGUUACGUGUGUUCGUAUUCCUACUUGACUGCCCGAAUCACCAAUAGCUUACACUCUAACCUUUAACCGAGACACAAUUUCAGUAUAGAUAACACUUUAUUUUGCACACAAAUGGUGGUUUCUUUUAUAUAAAUCACUGAUCGAUUGUGAAAAUCACAUUAUUUAUAAUGAUCUCGCUUCUCUUCGUAACCUUUUCCUUUUCGACCAUAUGUAGUGAACGUGUAGUGAAAUACAUUUCCUUAAGUAUAGUUUAUGCAUGCUCGACUUGCCGGCGAGUCUCCUUUGCCCCACUCCGCUACCCGAAAUUCGCUGGGCAAACCGCGGUGCGGGGAUGAAUUCUAGUGUUGAUGUUCAGAGCGAUUAGCUGGUACAUACAUAUGUAUAAUAACGAGCUUCAAACAU
rnacentral:misc_RNA from 1 species